CCUUCAGGUGGGACAAUCCUUAUCUAUUCCUCCUUUUGGAGGGCAGAUGGAACAGGAUGAUUGGAGUUUGUAUGGUGAUUAGUGUCUAUGAAUAAUAAGGACUUGCAACACUCUGAAUGCUCCUAUCCGAU
rnacentral:snoRNA from 17 species